CCAAUUGUUCAAUAUGGUAUCAGAGCACUUUGUGCUUCCAUUACCUGCUGCUUUAUGAUUCAUUUGAAUCUUCAUUUUUUUUCAUCAAAUCAUUCCGAAUUUGCUAUGGCAUCAAUAGCAAAUACAUCAUAUCAGAAUAAUUUAUCAUCAUCAGUGAGCAAUUCCACAUUGAUGAUGGAUCUAAUCCCUGCUACAUCUACCAUACAAAUAACCUGGGGCUUGUGCUUAUAUCAUAGCCUCUUACAAGUGACAAUUAUGCAUCAUGGAGUAGAUCUAUGAUAAUUGCAUUCUCUAUGAAGAAUAAACUCAGUUUUAUUGAUGGAUCAUUGUCUAGGUCGAAGGAUACUGAUGAUCAACUUAACAAUUGGAUCCAUAACAACAAUAUAGUCAUAUCGUGGAUUCUCAAUUCGGUGUCUAAAGAAAUCUCGGCAAGUGUUAUCUACUCUGAACAGGCACAUGACCUAUGGAUUGAUUUGAAGGAAAGGUUCCAGCAGAGGAAUGGACCUCGCAUAUUUCAGUUGAGGUGCGAAUUGAUGAGCCUCAUUCAAGGUCAGUUAUAAGUCAAUGUCUAUUUCACCAAAUUGCAAACAAUUUGGGAAGAGCUCAGUAACUAUAGACCAAUAUGAUCGUGUGGAAAGUGUGUUUGUGGUGGAUCUAAAAAGCUUUCAGAGCAUUACAAAAUGGAGUAUGUUAUGUCAUUCUUGAUGGUGUCAAAUGAUUCAUUUGCUCAAGUUCGGGGACAAUUGUUGCUUGUGGAUCCUAUACCCCCAUCAACGAAGUAUUCUCUCUUGUCUUGCAAGAAGAACAUCAAAGGAAUAUAAACAUCAAUGCCACUGGAGAUUCAAUGGCUUUCUAUGCUAAACCUAAUUCAAAGAAGGCUAACUCAGGAUAGACACAAUACAAAUUUCAGUAUGGAGAAAGGCCUAUGUGUACUUACUGUGGAUUGGCAGGCCAUUCAGUGGAUAAAUGUUACAAAUUACAUGGAUAUCCUCCGGGUUAUAAGAUGUAGCAAAGACCUGUUUCCACUGACCAAUUGAGCAUUACAAGCAAUCAGUCAAGGCGUAUGGCUGCGAAUCAGGUUACUUCUAAGCCUCAUUGAUACAUAUCACAAAACAUUGCAGAUGAUUUCAUGCAAUUUUUGAAUCCUACUCAAUACCAACAGCUAUUGAGCAUACUAAACAAUCAUCUAUCUUUUGCCAAAGUUAACACUGGAUCUGAUGAACACCAAGUGUCAGGUACUUGCUUUUCUAUAUCUCAUAAUCUGUGGCUUAACACGCCUAAUAAUUGGGUAGUAGAUUCUGGUGCAACCAGCCACAUUUGCUUUAAUCAAUUGGCUUUCCACUCUAUGAAAUCGGUUAAGAAUGCUUGGGUUACUUUUCCAAAUCAUAAUAGAGUAGUUGUGAAGUUCACUAGAACUGUAAAAUUUGACAAUACUCUGGCGUUAGAAGAUGUGCCAUAUGUGCCACAAUUUAGGUUCAAACUAAUGUCAGUUAGCUCAUUAACCAAAGAUCCCUAGAUUGAUGUUAGAUUCUUCACUAACAUGUGUUAUUCAGGGUAUACUCAGCCAGAAGAGAUUGGCAAGGGUAGAAGAAUUGCUGGAUUAUACAUAAUCAGUGAUAAUUCAUCUGAUUCAACAAGUGUUAACACAAGAAAAACUUUGCUUGGUAAUGUUUGUAAUUCCAUUUCCUUAUCUGUAAAUAAAGUAAAUGCUCAUGCUUGGUGUUAUACUUAUUUCAUAUUGGGCCUCAUUGGACUUGGCCCAUUUCUUUAACCCACCAGGCCCGUCUCCAUUUAUUUCUCUAUAUAUACGGGACUCAUUUCAUAAUUAAGGUAAGUUCUCUAACCCGAACCAAACCCACUCUCCCGCCUCUUGCACUCUUUAUUUUCUUUUCAUCUGGUAGUUGACUUGACUGUCGGAGUGCAAAAGGUCGUCCGAUAUUUUUCUCGACCGACGACCUUUCCCUCCUAACGGGAUGUUCCGUGUGCAGGUGUGGAGAGGACGAGGUCAGGAUUCUGUUGGCACAAUUUUUUAGGUCAACACUUGGCAUCACAGAUUAGCGUAUCAGAAGCUAUUCUUGUUAAAAGACCAAUUGAAUUUAAGUUGUGACAAGUACAAUAACUCCAGUUCAGAUCCUUUUAACGUUUGUCUAUUGGCAAAACGGAGAAGGCUUUCUUUUGUUUGAAAUAAUCACUUAUCUGCCAAAGCUUUUGAUCUGAUAUACUGUGACACCUGGGGGCCUUAUCACAUUACAUCACAUUCUGGCCACAAGUAUUUUCUUACUUUGGUAAAUAAUUACACACGUUUCACACGAGUAUACCUUAUAAAACACAAAUCUGAUGUUAGCAGCAUCAUUCCUAAGUUCUUUAAGAUGAUUGAGACUUAAUUUCAAACAUCUAUAAUUUAGGCUAGAUAAUGCACCAGAGUUGAAGUUCACAGAUUUCUUUCAUUCUAAAGGAGUCAUUCACCAAUUAUCUUGUGUUGAAUGGCCUGAAUAGAACUCGAUGGUUGAGAGAAAACAUCAACAUUUGUUGAAUGUUGCUAAGGCUUUGUAUUUUCAAUCACAAGUUUCCAUUCAAUUUUGAAGUGAAUGCAUAUUGACUGCAACUUUCCUUAUCAAUAGAAUUCCAUCUUCCAUUUUACAAAGCAAAACUCCCUUUUCACUCAUGUAUAACUCUCCUGUAGAUUACAAUCAAUUUAAGGUGUUUGGUAGCCUAUGCUUCGCAUCCACCUUGCCUUCUAAAAAAU
rnacentral:lncRNA from 1 species